GAUGAACGCUGGCGGCGUGCCUAAUACAUGCAAGUCGAGCGAACGGACGAGAAGCUUGCUUCUCUGAUGUUAGCGGCGGACGGGUGAGUAACACGUGGAUAACCUACCUAUAAGACUGGGAUAACUUCGGGAAACCGGAGCUAAUACCGGAUGAUAUUUUGAACCGCAUGGUUCAAAAGUGAAAGACGGUCUUGCUGUCACUUAUAGAUGGAUCCGCGCUGCAUUAGCUAGUUGGUAAGGUAACGGCUUACCAAGGCAACGAUGCAUAGCCGACCUGAGAGGGUGAUCGGCCACACUGGUACUGAGACACGGUCCAGACUCCUACGGGAGGCAGCAGUAGGGAAUCUUCCGCAAUGGGCGAAAGCCUGACGGAGCAACGCCGCGUGAGUGAUGAAGGUCUUCGGAUCGUAAAACUCUGUUAUUAGGGAAGAACAUAUGUGUAAGUAACUGUGCACAUCUUGACGGUACCUAAUCAGAAAGCCACGGCUAACUACGUGCCAGCAGCCGCGGUAAUACGUAGGUGGCAAGCGUUAUCCGGAAUUAUUGGGCGUAAAGCGCGCGUAGGCGGUUUUUUAAGUCUGAUGUGAAAGCCCACGGCUCAACCGUGGAGGGUCAUUGGAAACUGGAAAACUUGAGUGCAGAAGAGGAAAGUGGAAUUCCAUGUGUAGCGGUGAAAUGCGCAGAGAUAUGGAGGAACACCAGUGGCGAAGGCGACUUUCUGGUCUGUAACUGACGCUGAUGUGCGAAAGCGUGGGGAUCAAACAGGAUUAGAUACCCUGGUAGUCCACGCCGUAAACGAUGAGUGCUAAGUGUUAGGGGGUUUCCGCCCCUUAGUGCUGCAGCUAACGCAUUAAGCACUCCGCCUGGGGAGUACGACCGCAAGGUUGAAACUCAAAGGAAUUGACGGGGACCCGCACAAGCGGUGGAGCAUGUGGUUUAAUUCGAAGCAACGCGAAGAACCUUACCAAAUCUUGACAUCCUUUGACAACUCUAGAGAUAGAGCCUUCCCCUUCGGGGGACAAAGUGACAGGUGGUGCAUGGUUGUCGUCAGCUCGUGUCGUGAGAUGUUGGGUUAAGUCCCGCAACGAGCGCAACCCUUAAGCUUAGUUGCCAUCAUUAAGUUGGGCACUCUAAGUUGACUGCCGGUGACAAACCGGAGGAAGGUGGGGAUGACGUCAAAUCAUCAUGCCCCUUAUGAUUUGGGCUACACACGUGCUACAAUGGACAAUACAAAGGGCAGCGAAACCGCGAGGUCAAGCAAAUCCCAUAAAGUUGUUCUCAGUUCGGAUUGUAGUCUGCAACUCGACUACAUGAAGCUGGAAUCGCUAGUAAUCGUAGAUCAGCAUGCUACGGUGAAUACGUUCCCGGGUCU
rnacentral:rRNA from 1 species